GUGCCUGUAGCUCAGCUGGAUAGAGCGUCUGACUACGGAUCAGAAGGCCAGGGGUUCGAAUCCCUUCAGGCACACCA
rnacentral:tRNA from 8 species